ACGGGGUGCAGCAGGCGCGAAAACUCCACAAUGCGCGAAUGCGUGAUGGGGUUAGCCCGAGUGCCGUCCGAUGAGGAUGGCUUUUCUUCAGUUUAAGGAUCUGGAGGAAUAAAGGGGGGGCAAGACUGGUGUCAGCCGCCGCGGUAAUACCAGCCCCCUGAGUGGUAGGGACGAUUAUUUGGCCUAAAGCGUCCGUAGCCUGCUUGGUAAGUCUUUCGUCAAAUCCGACGAUUCAAUCGCCGAAACGCGGGAGAUACUGCCAGGCUUGAGGACGGGAGAGGUCGACGGUAGUCCCGGGGUAGGGGUGAAAUCCUAUAAUCCUGGGAGGACCACCAGUGGCGAAGGCGGUCGACUAGAACGUGCCUGACGGUGAUGGACGAAAGCUGGGGGAGCGAACCGGAUUAGACACCCGGGUAGUCCCAGCUGUAAACGAUGCAAGCUAGGUGUUGGAGCAACUACGGGUUGCUCCAGUGCCGCAGAGAAGUUGUUAAGCUUGCCGCCUGGGAAGUACGGCCGCAAGGCUGAAACUUAAAGGAAUUGGCGGGGGAGCAC
rnacentral:rRNA from 1 species